rnacentral:rRNA from 1 species
AGUGAACGCUGGCGGUAGGCCUAACACAUGCAAGUCGAACGGCAGCACAGUAAGAGCUUGCUCUUACGGGUGGCGAGUGGCGGACGGGUGAGGAAUACAUCGGAAUCUACUUUUUCGUGGGGGAUAACGUAGGGAAACUUACGCUAAUACCGCAUACGACCUACGGGUGAAAGCAGGGGAUCUUCGGACCUUGCGCGAUUGAAUGAGCCGAUGUCGGAUUAGCUAGUUGGCGGGGUAAAGGCCCACCAAGGCGACGAUCCGUAGCUGGUCUGAGAGGAUGAUCUGCGACACUGGAACGGAGACACGGUCCAGACUCCUACGGGAGGCAGCAGUGGGGAAUAUUGGACAAAGGGCGCAAGCCUGAUCCAGCCAUACCGCGUGGGUGAAGAAGGCCUUCGGGUUGUAAAGCCCUUUUGUUGGGAAAGAAAAGCAGCAGGUUAAUACCCCGCUGUUCUGACGGUACCCAAAGAAUAAGCACCGGCUAACUUCGUG